rnacentral:rRNA from 1 species
UACAGAGGGGGCAAGCGUUGUUCGGAAUUACUGGGCGUAAAGGGCGCGUAGGCGGCCGGCUAAGUCGAACGUGAAAUCCCUGGGCUCAACCCAGGAACUGCGUCCGAUACUGGUUGGCUUGAGUCCGGAAGAGGGAUGUGGAAUUCCAGGUGUAGCGGUGAAAUGCGCAGAUAUCAGGAAGAACACCCGUGGCGAAAGCGGCGCUCUGGAACGGUACUGACGCUGAGACGCGAAAGCGUGGGGAGCGAACAGG